rnacentral:rRNA from 1 species
AGAAUCAACGCUGGCGGCGUGCCUAACACAUGCAAGUCGAACGAGAAAGUGGAGCAAUCCAUGAGUAAAGUGGCGCACGGGUGAGUAACACGUGACUAACCUACCCUUGAGUGGGGGAUAACCUCGGGAAACCGGGCUAAUACCGCAUAACAUCGAGAGAUCAAAGGAGCAAUUCGCUUAAGGAGGGGGUCGCGGCUGAUUAGCUAGUUGGUGAGGUAAUGGCUCACCAAGGCUAUGAUCAGUAUCCGGCCUGAGAGGGCGCGACGGACGACGACUGGAACUGAAACACGGUCCAGACUCCUACGGGAGGCAGCAGUGGGGAAUUUUGCGCAAUGGGGGAAACCCUGACGCAGCAACGCCGCGUGGAGGAUGAAGUCCCUUGGGACGUAAACUCCUUUCGAUCGGGACGAUAAUGACGGUACCGGAAGAAGAAGCCCCGGCUAACUUCGUGCCAGCAGCCGC